UUUGCAUAUCUGUCCUGCCUCUCUGCUCCCAGCCGUUAAGAGGCCAGUGUUGAUCAGUGGCUGUCCAGGCCUUUCAGAGCCACUGACACGCCGGCAGCACAAUGAUGAUGUCACUGAUUCCACUGCUGGCCACCCUGGGGCUCCUUGUUCAGGGUUCAUCAGGACAAAUCAUCCUGACUCAGUCUCCUGGAUCUCAGUCUGUUGUUCCAGGACAGACUGUCUCUCUCAGAUGUAAAACCAGUACGAGUGUUAGUAGCUACCUCAACUGGUACCUUCAGAAACCUGGAGAAGCUCCUAAACUCCUGAUUUAUCGAGCUACAAGCCGUCCGUCUGGAGUUCCAGGUCGUUUUAGUGGAAGUGGAUCUGGGACUGACUUCACUCUGACCAUCAGUGGAGUUCAGGCUGAAGAUUCAGGAGUUUACUACUGUCAGCAGGGUUACAGCUCGUUCACUUUUGGUGGAGGAACCUCCCAGGCUGCACCGCAGCUACCUGAAGGGCCUGCGCCGUCCUCAUCCUCUACUCCACCCUCCUCCUCGUCAUCAACCACCUGAAUAAUAAUAAUAUAA